rnacentral:rRNA from 1 species
GACGAACGCUGGCGGCGUGCUUAACACAUGCAAGUCGAACGAAGUGGGAACGGGUGAGUACUACGUGUGUAACCUCCCUCCUUUUUGGGAUAAGCCUUGGAAACGGGGUCUAAACCGGAUAUAUGGGCUCUCGGCCUAUCAGGGUGUUGGUGGGGUGAUGGCCUACCAAGGCGGUGACGGGGAGCCGGCCUGAGAGGGUGACCGGCAAAAACGGGAACUGAGUACGGCUCAGACUUCUACGGGAGGCAGCCGGAGGGAAUCUUCGGCAAAUGACGGAAGUCUGACUGAGCAACGCCGCGGGAGGGAAGGAGGUUCUUGGGUCGUAAAGCUCUGUUAUGAGAGAAGCGUUAACUAACCAGAAAGCGACGGCUAACUACGUGCCAGCAGCCGCGGUAAUUC